CAGAGCACCACUUUGUGAGAACAUCCCUUUUGUACUUUGAAAGGGAUGACAGAAAUAUUAAAGAAGAUGUCCUUAGGACUCUUAUUGGUGAGACAGACUCUUAAAAGAAGGAACAUCUUCUUCGGUAAGAAUAAUGAAAUGUCAUCAUGCUAAGAGAUUUGGACCAGCUCUAUAAAUUAAACAGAAUGCGAUGACAGCCUUGAGGCGAUUUUAUUUUGUGUUUGAGGAUUUAUUUGUGGAAAGAGAGACUACUGAUAUGACUACUGUAGCAUCAAUUCUUCAGUCAGUGCUGGGUGGAUUUAAGCAAAUAAAUUCCACUUAAGGAGAGAACAUCAUUUAAAUGACCAGGAGAGAACACUGACUGGCAACAGCAGAUGGGAAUCAGUCCACAAGAAGUGUCUUAAUCACUAUUUUUGCAUACAGAUACUAUCCCUGUGCAAUUUGUGCCUGGGAAAAGCAACCUCUCUUAAUCUUUCUUUU
rnacentral:lncRNA from 1 species